CUCGUAGGCGGUUGGGUAAGUCGGGUGUGAAAACUCCAGGCUCAACUUGGAGAUGCCACCCGAUACUGCUCUGACUUGAGUUCGGUAGGGGAGUGGGGAAUUCCUGGUGUAGCGGUGAAAUGCGCAGAUAUCAGGAGGAACACCGGUGGCGAAGGCGCCACUCUGGGCCGAAACUGACACUGAGGAGCGAAAGCGUGGGUAGCAAACA
rnacentral:rRNA from 1 species